CCGAUGCCUAUUUGUAACCUCUCAGGCACGAGCUGUGGCCGGUGGGGUUCAUGGAUGUGCAAGGACAAGGAACUUCCAACGGUACUGAUCAUUGCUUCAGUUUCCAUAUUAGGAACGUGUCUGCUCGUAUGGGUAUCCAAGACAGCAAGAGGAAAGGCUCAUCUUCCACCAGGGCCCCGUGGCUUUCCCAUACUUGGCUACCUUCCAUUUCUAGGCCCCAAUCUUCACCAACUGUUUAUGGAAUUGGCACAAAAUUACGGUCCAAUCUACAAGCUCUCAAUUGGGCAGAAGCUAUGUGUCAUAAUAAGCUCUCCAACUCUAGUAAAAGAGAUUGUUCGCGACCAGGACAUCGCAUUUGCCAACAGGAAUCCAACCAUCGCAGCAAAAACCUUCUCCUACGGUGGAAAGGACAUUGCCUUCGCACCCUAUGGCCCCGAGUGGCGCCUGCUACGCAAAAUAUUCGUGCGCGAGAUGCAGAGCAAUGCAAAUCUUGAUGCAUUUUAUUCUCUUAGGAGAAGCAAGGUGAAGAAAAGUGUGAGGGAUGUGCACGGCAAGAAGAUUGGAGAGCCUGUUGACGUUGGGGAACUGGCAUUUUUAACAGUGAUCAACAUGAUAUCAGGGAUGUUUUGGGGUGGAACACUCGGCCAGGAAGGGGAAAUCGAUAUUGGGGCCAAGUUUCGGGUAGCAGUGGCGGAGCUGGUUGAGAUACUGGGAAAGCCAAAUGUUUCAGAUUUCUUUCCCUUCCUUGCGAGGUUUGACAUACAGGGAGUGAAGAGGAAAAUCGAGGAGGUAUCACAACGGACUGAGAAAAUCUAUGACCAUGUGAUAUAUCAGUGCAUAAAGAAGAAGCAGCAGCAAAGUGGAGAGAUGGGGGAAAUUACUGACAGGAAGGACUUCUUGCAUUUCUUAAUGGAGUUUAAAGAGUGGGAAAUCAAUUUCCAGACAACAAAUCAAGGCCUUGCUUAUGAUAAACUUUUUCUUCCUUCCCGUCAGAAGAAAGAAUACAAGUAAUAAAGGAAAGUAUUGUGCAUUUAUUUGUAUCUUAUUUACAGAGAUAUUACAUCUAUUUAUACAUGAGAAUAUGAACUAAUUUAGAAAUAUGAGCUAAUUUAGACAAGAACAAUAAUUGUUAUAAUUAUGCUUUACAAAUCUUCUAUAAUCAUGCUA
rnacentral:misc_RNA from 1 species